AUGUCAGGGCAGAGCCAGCGCCUGAACGUGGUGCCGACGGUGACGAUGCUGGGGGUGGUGAAGGCGCGGCUGAUCGGCGCGACGCGGGGCCACGCGCUGCUCAAGAAGAAGUCGGACGCGCUCACGGUGCAGUUCCGCGCCAUCCUCAAGAAGAUCGUCGCCACCAAGGAGUCCAUGGGCGAGGCCAUGCGCGCCUCCUCCUUCUCGCUCGCCGAGGCCAAGUACGUGGCCGGCGACGGCGUGCGCCACGUCGUGCUCCAGUCCGUCCGCUCCGCCUCGCUCCGCGUCCGCUCCCACCAGGAGAACGUCGCCGGGGUCAAGCUGCCCAAGUUCACCCACUUCGUCGACCCCGCCGGCGCCUCCUCCGGCGGGCCCUCCGGCGCCUCCCCCAGCCUCACCGGCCUCGCCCGCGGGGGGCAGCAGGUCUCUGCCUGCCGCGCCGCCCACGUCAAGGCCAUCGAGGUGCUCGUCGAGCUCGCCUCGCUCCAGACCUCCUUCCUCACCCUCGACGAGGCCAUCAAGACCACCAACCGCCGCGUCAACGCCCUCGAGAACGUCGUCAAGCCCAGGCUCGAGAACACCAUCACCUACAUCAAGGGCGAGCUCGACGAGCUCGAGCGCGAGGACUUCUUCCGGCUCAAGAAGAUCCAGGGAUACAAGAGGAGGGAGGUCGAGCGCCAGAUGGCCGCGGCCAAGCUCUUCGCCGAGGAGCAGCUCGCCGAGGAUCUCGCCCUCAAGAGGGGCGUCUCCAUCGGGGGCGCCACCAACAUACUCGUCGGCGGCGGAGACAAGGACGAAGACAUCAUCUUCUGA
rnacentral:rRNA from 1 species